UGAGUGACGCGGAUCUACGAUUUGUGGUGGAGGUUAAGUCAAUUGGGUAUAAUUGUUAGUAAGUCUCUAAUGGUUGAUAGAGACAGAUUCAAGUAAUAUUUGUUCUCAACUCGAGAAAGUUAUGUUGGUGGCCGACAACAUAACGCUAAGGGUGGGAAUGAGUAUGCUUGUGUGCUUCCGCCUAAUUUGAUGUUGGAUCGUUUGGUUUUCGAGUUACGUAGAACUUAGGGGUUAAGGUGAUUAACCUAAAUAUUAGUGGAUGUAUGUGGAUUAUUGUUAUUAGGUGAUCAUUAGAUUAUUUGUGUUAUGUGGUUGUAUGUGUGGUUGACUCUGUAUCCGGUGCUACGCCGUGCAUAUACAGGGGAGAUUCUGUCCGUUUGUAUAGAGAAUCUUUGUCCAUGUGGUGGGUCUGUGUGCGUCCGUGUUCAAAAGUGUCUUUUUUUAAAAGAAAUCUACACAUUUUUCGCUAGUUUUUUUAAGAAGGAUUUCCAAAAAGAACCUCGGGGCGUGACAUCUAGUUGGUAAUGUAGUAAUACAAAUUGUGCAAGAUAACACCAAAAAUACUACUGAGCAAGGGAGUGAGUAUCUUGUAUUACUAAUGGUGAGUAACCCUUUGGGUGCGUUUGGUUCGCAUUAUGAAAGAUUACUAGGAAUAAAAGAUAUCCGAGAAUCUUAUUCCUAUUCAUCUUAUUACUAAGAAUGUGAAAUUUCUGUGUUUGGUUCGCACGGUAAUAUUAAUUAGCCAUAUUAUUUAAUAUUACAAAAAAUAUACAAUUUAUUUAUUUAAUUAAUUUUAGAUAAUGUUACCAAAAGUUUCAACAUCUUUUUAGAAAAAAGGGAGAGAGAGUAUAAGUUAGAGAGAGAGAGAGAGCAUAAUUAAAAAAAUAGAAAGAAAAAUAUAGUCGAAAUUAGAAGGAGCGAGAAAGUUGAAAUUUUAGAAAGAGAGAGAGAGAGAAAGCUUAGUUUAGAGAGAGAAAAAAAAGUUGAAUUUUAGGAAGAAAAAUAAGUUUAGAGAGAGAUAUAAGGUUAGAAUGUAAAGAAAAAUAAUAUCAAUUAGCCUGCAGGUAGGAAAAAAGAAAGAGAUUAGACAUAUUGUGAUUACCCCAAUCCAUUAAUAUGAGAAUACCCACCCUCCCUCAAGGGAAUGAGAUUAGUACUUUGGGUGAAUCUUAUUCCCAAGUGAAUCAAAUAUUACCAACUAGAUUACUUAGUGCAUUUACCCAAAUACCGUCAUAUUUUUUUAUUCCCAUUGGAUUAGUAGGAAUCUUUAAAAGAUAGCGCGAACCAAAUGCACCCUUUAUGUUAUUUAAAGAUUAUAAGUUUGCCCCUGCAACCCCAACUCUUUGUAUAUGUAAUUUUUUAAAAUUUUAUUUAAAAAUUUGAAUUGCCAAAUUGUAAAUUUAAAUUUCAAAUUUCAAAUCCCAAAUAACUAGUUAUGCUGAAAUAUCCUAUAAUGCUAUAUAACACGAACCAUACG
rnacentral:lncRNA from 1 species